UGACAUGAACUAACAUUUUUCGAGUUGACAUCCCUCAAGAUAAAUGAUGCCAGGAGGCGUCUGUGCAAACAUCCUGACCCGCAGCUUGUUGUGAGUCUUGCUUGUUCCCGGUGCCUUCGCCACACUGCUUGGCCUGCUCCCAAGAAUGAAUGGCUAAUCUGUUCUACUUGCUCCUGUACCCAGGCAACUCACUCAACACCAGGCUCACAGAGGGUCUUCGGAGAUUGUUGCUCCAAGGGUGAGCAAGUGCAUGAGGGCCUGGCCUGGCACAUCGGAGCAUUUCCACACUUCUGCACCUUUGCUUCUGGAGCCCCCACUGCUGAGAAUGCCUUCCCACCACCAACUCAAGCAUCAUCACUUCCUGGGAUGGUCGCUCACAAAAAGAAUUGGCUCUUCCUGUGUGUGACUGCGUUCUUCUCCUCUUUUCCAUAUCUGGGUCUGGCUCUACAGUCUUGCUUUCAAAAGAUUUCCCCGAAGGAAAAGUUAGAAGAAGGAAAAUGUGAAGGAAAAUGCUCACCACUGCACUAGUAUGGAUAAUUGUGAAAAAAAAUGGAAAUAAUCUAAGUGCCUAAGUCUUAAGGGUUGAUAGUAAAACAGAAUGUCCGUGUGGCAGAAGCCAUGCAAUCACUGAAUUUGUGUGGAUUAAUAAUUGCUGCCAUGACCCACAGAUAAGCACUGAAUCAUACUCCUGGAAUCCAGUUGUGGAGAGGGAGGAGGGAUGAGCAAAGGAGCCAAGACUGUGCUGCAGAAACCCACAGAAACAGUGGACCUGACCUAGUGAGAGCAUGGAGACCCUAGUCAUAAAGCUGGGGAAACAGCAUUGGACCGAACCAAGCCCUCUGAAUGUGGGUGCCAGCUAGGAGGCCAAGACAGUGUAUGGGACCUCUAACAGUGGAGGCAGUCUUUAACCCUAGAGCACAAAUGGACUUUGGGAGCCCAUUCCCUGUGGAGGGAUACUAUUGCAGCUCAGAUACAGCAAGGAGGGCCUAGGCCCUCCCCCAAAUGAUAUGACAGACUCUGAAGGUCCCUGGUGGAGAGCCUUACUAUCCCUGGGGACAGGUUGGGGGAUGGGUUGGGGGAGGUUGGUGGGGAACAUGGGAGGAUGGGAGGGCAAAGAAAUAGGGAGGAAUAGAUAUGUAAAUAUGAGUAGUAAUUAAAGAAUUUAAAUAAAAAUGGAAAAAUAAAUAAAUAAAAUAAUUGC
rnacentral:lncRNA from 1 species